rnacentral:rRNA from 1 species
UACGUAGGGUGCGAGCGUUGUCCGGAAUUAUUGGGCGUAAAGAGCUCGUAGGCGGUCUGUCGCGUCGAUCGUGAAAACUUGGGGCUUAACCCUGAGCUUGCGGUCGAUACGGGCAUGACUGGAGUUCGGCAGGGGAGACUGGAAUUCCUGGUGUAGCGGUGAAAUGCGCAGAUAUCAGGAGGAACACCGGUGGCGAAGGCGGCUCACUGGACUGGUACUGACGCUGAGGCGCGAAAGCGUGGGGAGCAAACGGG